UGAGCAGGAACAAGUUUAAAUGGGAAUUAACCCGUAAAACUGGAGCAUUUAGGUUAAUUGCUCUGUACAUGUCAGCCGUUAACAAUUGACGACUUUUAUAUACCAUGCACGGAAAGAAAUCCUGUCCGCGUGAUUGAUAACAUUCUGCAAUGAAACCGUUUACAUCGAAUGUUUUCAAAUUCGUUAGCAAUGUAAGCAAAAGUGCUCACAAUGUUAACACUUUAGCGUUUUUAGCUUGGCUUUUUGCAUACAGUUAGGCGUAUUCAAAAUUUCUGGAUGCGUUACGGCGCAGAGCAGAGCAAAGCGAAAAACACAUCAAAGAAAAGCAAUGAGUUUUGCGACCGCAAAACGUCAGCAUCAUGGGGAGCAUUGGGGUUAAAUAAAAUUCAACAUAUAUUUUUUUUACAAAACAGCUUAAUUGGGUCAGCAUAUGGUGAUGAAUGAUUUUGUUUAACACUUCAUAUUCAUAUGCAUUUAAAAUAGUAACUAACAUUGGCUAAAUUGAUCAGUUUGCGCUAAAAAAAAAUAUUGAACGAGUCACUUUACCCCAAUGUUCCCCAUGUUUUCGCGUCCGGUUGUCAUCGAAAAUUAAAGUGUUGUUUGUGUGAUUAGUGUGCGACGAAGAUGAAGUUUCCGGCCGAGGAGGUUCCAUCUAGGUGGUUCCAUCUGGUCGAGGAUGGCGAGGACAAAUAUGAUGCGCUGGGCAAGCAAACCGAGAGCACAUGCAUCACGAAAUCGAUCGGCUGUUGAAGAGAUCUGAACAAACCCUGGUCAACAUCCUGUUGGCCAACAACUACCAUCAACCGGACCUUUCCGAAGUUUUCUUCUGGUGGCCGAGGGCAUCUACGUAGAGAUGUUGCCGAAUUUCGGCCGGAGCAUGGUUGCCGACCGGAACUUCAAAACGGGUGACGUACUUUCGGACGCUAGGUGCAUUCCUCUUGGGCUGGGAUGCGGCACCAAUAAGAUGAACCGUGCGAUCCUUUUCAACUUGAGCUUCUGUGAAGGUUUCCGGCAGCAGUGGCAGUAACUACUUCAAUACGGCAUUACAAUUCACAGGACAACGAACAGCGCCAUAGCAAUAAACCAGUAAACCAAUUCGCAAA